UACGUUGCACUUAUAAUAUAACGGCCUAUUGUUUUAACGUAAUUUUGCAUUUUUUUAAAGUUCACGUUGACCUGAUUUAAAUACGUAAAAAUGUUUCAAAAUUUAUUUUUCGUCGUUGUAGUUUCUAUGUUAUCUCUAACCUAUUCUGCUUAUGUCCCCGCAAACUUUAACCAAGCUGUACAAACGUUUCUAACCAAGAGAGUUAACAUUGACCGCGGGUUGCGCGACUGGAUGAUCCAAAAUGGUCAUAAUCAGUCACAAUAUCCGUUUCCACAACCUUUUCAAGUCAAUGUGACAGACUUGCCCGGCGCCAGGUUUAAUUUGACCAGUAAUUUAACUUCUGCCGUAUUCCACAUUUAUCAUCCAGAUCAUCUCGUAAACUACACAAGCAUUGAGAAUGAUACUUCUACCGGGGGUGAGGUACUCCAAAUCAUGUUCAAUCAACCUGCCGUCAGUCCCUACGUAACAGGUAUUUGUUACCAUGAUGCGCUUACGAACUACUUUUGGGGCCGUACAUAAAGUCUCCACGAAACCGUGGGAUAUCUGCAGGAAAGCAAUGUGGUUUCUAAUGGAGGCUGGAAGCUGACAUAUCCAAUAUACCGAGCCACAGUAUAUGUACCUUUUCACAUCGAUAAUAAUGGCUAUUUGGCCUGUAAUGAGACUAAUAAAGGACCAUCGAUCGGGUACGAUGAGACCUUCGUGUUUGAAGAUGACGCCCUUAUAAGUCCUGAGAACCCUUUUUAUUCUGAUGUUAUCAGCGGGUAUAAAACUGAGGUGGGGAGGGCGUACAGUUUUGGGAUGUUUUCAUUCUCACAAUUCACAGAAGUUAGACGAUUCAUCUGUGCUACUUUGAAAGAAAGAACCGUAGAAGAAAUCAUCGCUGGAACGUCAUCGGCAAACAUGAUGAAAUUUUAUUCACCCACAAUUCUAAUGAUAGUUAUUUUAUUCGGAAAACUAAUGCACUAAUGUACAUUUUACUGACAUGUCUAUGAUAAAAUAUGUAUUAUUAAUACAAAAUUGUGAAUAGCAUACUUUACAUAAUUACUUUCAUUAUUAGUAUUUAUACACAAAGUUUUAGUGAGAUUUAUCA